UAGGGAAUCUUCCGCAAUGGACGCAAGUCUGACGGAGCAACGCCGCGUGAGUGAAGAAGGAUUUCGGUUCGUAAAACUCUGUUGUUAGAGAAGAACAGCGCAUAGAGUAACUGUUAUGCGUGUGACGGUAUCUAACCAGAAAGCCACGGCUAACUACGUGCCAGCAGCCGCGGUAAUACGUAGGUGGCAAGCGUUGUCCUGAUUUAUUGGGCGUAAAGCGAGCGCAGGCGGUCAAUUAAGUCUGAUGUGAAAGCCCCCGGCUCAACCGGGGAGGGUCAUUGGAAACUGGUUGACUUGAGUGCAGAAGAGGAGAGUGGAAUUCCAUGUGUAGCGGUGAAAUGCGUAGAUAUAUGGAGGAACACCAGUGGCGAAGGCGACUCUCUGGUCUGUAACUGACGCUGAGGUUCGAAAGCGUGGGUAGCAAACAGG
rnacentral:rRNA from 1 species